UUGGAGGGCAAGUCUGGUGCCAGCAGCCGCGGUAAUUCCAGCUCCAAUAGCGUAUAUUAAAGUUGUUGCAGUUAAAAAGCUCGUAGUUGAAUUUCGGAAUUUUUUUAUCGGUUGAACCAACAGGUUCGUACUGAUUUUAAGAAUUUCUACCUUCUGGAGAACCUUAAUGUCAUUUAUUUGAUGUUUUGGGAAACCAGGACUGUUACCUUGAAAAAAUUAGAGUGUUUAAAGCAGGCUUAUGUCUGAAUAUAUUAGCUUGGAAUAAUGAAAUAGGACGGCAUGGUUCUAUUUUGUUGGUUUCUAGGAUCACCGUAAUGAUUAAUAGGGAUAGUUGGGGGCAUUAGUAUUCAAUUGUCAGAGGUGAAAUUCUUGGAUUUAUUGAAGACUAACUUCUGCGAAAGCAUUUGCCAAGGAUGUUUUCAUUAAUCAAGAACGAAAGUUAGGGGAUUGAAGACGAUCAGAUACCGUCGUAGUCUUAACCAUAAACUAUGCCGACUAGGAAUCGGACGAAGUUAAUUUUUUAAAUGACUCGUUCGGCGCCCUACAGGAAACCAAAGUGUUUGGGUUC
rnacentral:rRNA from 1 species